rnacentral:rRNA from 1 species
GAUGAACGCUGGCGGCGUGCCUAAUACAUGCAAGUCGAGCGAACAGACGAGGAGCUUGCUCCUCUGACGUUAGCGGCGGACGGGUGAGUAACACGUGGAUAACCUACCUAUAAGACUGGGAUAACUUCGGGAAACCGGAGCUAAUACCGGAUAAUAUAUUGAACCGCAUGGUUCAAUAGUGAAAGACGGUUUUGCUGUCACUUAUAGAUGGAUCCGCGCCGCAUUAGCUAGUUGGUAAGGUAACGGCUUACCAAGGCAACGAUGCGUAGCCGACCUGAGAGGGUGAUCGGCCACACUGGAACUGAGACACGGUCCAGACUCCUACGGGAGGCAGCAGUAGGGAAUCUUCCGCAAUGGGCGAAAGCCUGACGGAGCAACGCCGCGUGAGUGAUGAAGGUCUUCGGAUCGUAAAACUCUGUUAUUAGGGAAGAACAAAUGUGUAAGUAACUAUGCACGUAUUGACGGUACCUACUCAGAAAGCCACGGCUAACUACGUG